GCAAAUUUACAAAUAAGACAAAUAUAAACAUGUAUUAUAUAGUUUCUCUUAAUAUGGAUUUCGAGUAGAACAUUCGAAGAGCAAGGAAUACUUUUAUGGAGUAUCAAGGACUUGUAACUGAAAGUUCUUUCUCUUAUAUAAACUUGGCAAACCUAAAUUAAAACAUUUGAAACAUACAUAUAUAGGAUAAUACUGUGCUGGAAAGAAUAAUUCAUUUGGAAGCUGAUUAAUUUACCUAAAGAAGCAGAUGGUUCAAGAAAGCUAGAUAAAUUACAUUGAAUUGAAGAAACUGAUACAGUUGACUGUGAUUAAGAUUCAUAAACCCGUGGAUUUCAUUAGAUGACUUUACAGAGAUGAGGAAGGAAAACAGGCAGGCGACGUCAUUUUCGUGCCGAGGCAAAACUUUCCGUGGCUUUGAGCCUUUGACAAACGGUCGUUCGUAAUUGGAUUCGUUUUAUAAAGUUCCAACGAAACGUGCAGCCUUUCUGCUAUUAAUUGGAAAUGGUAAGCGGUGCGCUGCUAUAGUGACGGGGAGUGUGGACUGGAGGUCGACGAGGGAUCUUAGUCUUCAAUGUGCCCUGGAGAAAAAAACAGCAUAAUCCAUGUUCGCUUUGCCGCUUGGAUUCUUAUAUAGAUAUACCAAGAACUAUGGGACUUAGAAUUUACUCUUUAGCUACUCAAAUUGGGACUUAUUUUUAUUAACU